AGCUGGGGAAGAAUUGUACUUUACAGUUGGCUCUCAGCACAUACCUUUUGCUUCAUCCCCUCGGGAUGUGUGGACUGAGCUAGGACGUCCCUACAGUAUUGAGUGAUGGGUUUCUUGAUUCAGUAUCAAUGUCAGGUCUUGCAGGGGGUUUUGUUUCAUCUUCUUGGCCUGCACGGGAAAUUAUGGGUCUUGGCGCCGCCACGGCUUCCACCCUCAACGAAGCAGUGAAGGGUUAUAUAGCUCUGUGUACCUAAGCUAAUUAACUCUAACAACAACUGAAUCUGUUAGAGCGAUCUAACAGGUUCAGUUGUUACUAACUUGUAGGGUUAUAAAUCUUAGUAACUAUUGUUUUCCUUAUAACAUGAUAUCUUAUGAUCCCUUCAAUUAAAAACUUUUCACGUUUCCCUUCAAAA